rnacentral:rRNA from 1 species
CCCUUCGGGGUGUAUUAAUAGAGAACGGGUGAGUAACACGUGGGCAAUCUGCCCUUCACUCUGGGACAAGCCCUGGAAACGGGGUCUAAUACCGGAUACGACACACGACCGCAUGGUCUGUGUGUGGAAAGCUCCGGCGGUGAAGGAUGAGCCCGCGGCCUAUCAGCUUGUUGGUGGGGUGAUGGCCCACCAAGGCGACGACGGGUAGCCGGCCUGAGAGGGCGACCGGCCACACUGGGACUGAGACACGGCCCAGACUCCUACGGGAGGCAGCAGUGGGGAAUAUUGCACAAUGGGCGAAAGCCUGAUGCAGCGACGCCGCGUGAGGGAUGACGGCCUUCGGGUUGUAAACCUCUUUCAGCAGGGAAGAAGCGAAAGUGACGGUACCUGCAGAAGAAGCGCCGGCUAACUACGUGCCAGCAGCCGCGGUAAUACGUAGGGCGCAAGCGUUGUCCGGAAUUAUUGGGCGUAAAGAGCUCGUAGGCGGCUUGUCACGUCGGAUGUGAAAGCCCGGGGCUUAACCCCGGGUCUGCC